rnacentral:lncRNA from 1 species
AAGCGUACAAGCGUCCCUAAAGAAGACGGGUGCGUUGGCUGCAGAAGCUGCCCAUCGAGGAAAGGAGAAAAUGGAGUUACUGCGUAGGUGUCGAAAAGGGCGUAAGCAUUUAACUUCCUCGUCCCAUCGGGUAGCUAGAGAGUUCUUCCCGCGCGUGCUAAUUGGUCGCCAUGGCUGUGGGUCUAUGAACUAAUGUUUACGGCUUUCAAUGGGAAUAUGCUAUCGGAGGAGAAGCGAAAGUAGGAUGGGACACACACACCACGCGCCUGCGCGGACGCAUUACCAAACGCUCUAAAGGGCGGGCUGGUGCUCGCAGCCCCUCGCUUUUCAGGAAAUUUUCCCAAUAAUGUAAUUUGGGCUUUACCAAAUAAAAUAGGAAAAAGGUAAAAGGCGGAUUUAGACGGAUCCUCGUGAAUUCAUAUGAUUUUUUCAUUCAAAUUAAAUAAAACCACCAUGAUACUGUAGACCAUGUCUUACUCUGUAGACAGCAUCAAAAAAAUCAUGCACCCACUAUUUUGUGGGGCCACAGGGGCGCAAAAACAUGGUUAAAAAACACGGAUCCUCAUGAUUUUUGCACUAGAUCAGCCCAAAGUCACCAUCAGAUCAAACAUCAUGGCCAUGGGCACAGCAUCCACCACAAAAAUCACAGAUCCACGGCUUCCUGGCAAAUUCAUGGCCCAAAAACGUGGUUUCGAAGCACGGAUCCUCAUUGAUCCUCACGUUUUUUGCAUUGGGCCAACCCAAACUCACCGUCAAAUUACAUAUCAUAGCCAGGGGCACAGCCUACACCACAAAAAACUCGGAUCCACGCCUGCCUGGCCACACCAUGGCCCAAAAACGUGGUUCCGAAGCAUGGAUCCUCAUGAUUUUUGCACUAGAUCAGCCCAAAGUCACCAUCAGAUCAAACAUCAUGGCCAUGGGCACAGCACGUGACACAAAAAUCACGGAUCCAUGGCUUCCUGGCCGUACCGUGGCCCAAAAACAUGGUUUUGAAGCACGGAUCUUCAUGGAUCCUGACGCUUUUUGCAUUGGGCCACCCCAAACUCACUGUCAAAUCACACAUCAUGCCCAGGGGCACAGCCUUCACCACAGAAAACUCAGAUCCCCGGCUUCCUGGUCACUCCAUUGCCCAAAAAUGUGGUUUUGAAGCAUGGAUCCUCAUGGAUCCUCAUGCUUUUUGCAUUGGGCCACCCCAAACUCACAGUCAAAUCACACCUUAUGGCCAGGGGCACAGCCUGCACCACAAAAAAAUAGGAUCCAUGGCUUCCUGGCCACAACAUGGUCCAAAAACGUAGUUUUGAAGCACGGAUCCUCAUGGAUCCUCACACUUUUUGCACUGGGCCACCCCUAAAUCACCGUCAAAUCACACAUCAUGUCCAGGGGCACAGCCUGCACCACAAGAAGCCAGUAUCCACGGCUUCCUGGCCGUACCGUGGCCCAAAAACAUGGUUUUGAAGCACGUAUCCUCAUGCAUCCUCAUGCUUUUUGCAUUGGGACAACCCAAACUCACCGUCAAAUCACACAUCAUGUCCAGGGGCACAGCCUGCACCACAAAAAUCAUGAGUUGCACUACAAAAAUCACAGAAAUGCCCUUACAUAACACUGUUAAUGUCACCACUGGAACAUUACAUUGGGUAAUAAUUUUUUUACUUUUCGAAUGUUGUCUAGAUUUCUACAACUGAUUUAGGGUAUUUUUGCACUGCUGAAUCAGGAAAUGGCAUCUGUUUCUCUCCAUCAGGUCAGGUUUACUGUAAACUGAAUGGUGGGCAUUGAUAAAGGUAAGUACACGUAAAUUGCAUGUUGCUUCACCAUUUUUCAAACUUCAGGGCUUGAACUUCCGUUUCUUGGAACUCCUGGAAUGCUCAGCGGCAGGGAGGUCUCUCUUCAGAGUCCAACAGUAGUCAGCCAUCAUGACUGUGUCCCAGCGACCCUGGUACCUGGUCUCCAUCUCUUUCAUGUCCUGAUGGAAUCUCUCCCCCUGCUCGUCACUCAUUGAACCCAGGUUCUCAGGAAACCGGUCCAUAUGUGAAAAUAGGUAGUGCAUCUUGACGCUCAUGUUGCAGCCCAGGUUUCUGAAAGCAGUCAGCAUGUUGUUGACAAGUUCUGAGUAGUUUCUGGCCUUAUUGUUGCCAAGAAAGUUCUUCACUACCAGAACAAAUGCCUUCCACGCUUCCAGUUCCACUUCGUUCAUUGAGUUUCUGAACUCUGGAUCUCUGAUGUGCUGACGGAUCUGAGGACCGUCAAAGACGCCAGCUUUCAACUUCUUCAUGCUCAAUCCUGGAAAAGCUUGGCACAAGUAAGUGAACCAGUCACCAUCCUUGUCCAGAGCCUUGGUGAACUGCUUGAUUAAGCCAAGCUUGAUGUGCAGCGGUGGGAAGAGUAUUCUGUCUCUGUCCACCAGGGGGUCGUUGAUGACGUUCCUUUCUUUGCAAGACACCAAUUCCUCCCGCACAGGCCAGUCCUUCUUCGUGUAAUGCUGAGCACGGUCCUUACUAUCCCACAUGCACAGAAAACUAGGGUACUUGGUGAAGCCAGACUGUUGUCCCAACAAAAAGUUCACCAUCUUCAGGUCAACACAAAUAAACCACUUAUGCUGAUCAUAACCAAUUUUCUCCAGCACAUACUUCACCGCUUCAUAGUUCUCCUUCAGUGUACUCGAGUGAGCCAGGGGUAUAGAGGCAAACUGGUUGCCGUUGUGUAGCAGAACACAUUUCAGUGAUCGCUUGCUGCUGUCAAUGAACAGUCUCCAAUCUUUGGGUUCAUACUGUGGCACUCCAAGCUUGAGCAGAAGCUGUGCAAUAUCUGCACAGUACACCAAGUCCUUCUCUUCCGAGAAAAAACGGAGGUACUCUUGAUGCCUGUUGCGGAAGAAGCUGAUGCGAGCACUGUCAGAGAGGAGGUUUUUUCCUUCAAUCUGGAUGCCAACAGUUCUGCAGAGUCCUUUGACAAGCUGAGGUCGCGAACUAGAUCAUUCAACUCCUUUUGGGAAAAUGGAUGUGGAGCAUCAUCUUCAAGAACCACUUCUUCUUCUUCAUGUCCUUCAACACUGGAGGCAUCUUCGUCGCUAAUGUCAGGAAGUUCUCCGAAGAUAGGCACUGGAAUUUCAUCACAAUGAGCUACAGGACGAGGUGCUGAUUGAAGAUCAGGAUACUUGAGGCUGCUCCGGUUCUUUCUGUUGAUCCCAGCCGCACCAAUUUAUGGAAGAUUUCGAGGUUUUAUGACUUCAAACUGAUCCCUUUUCGACAUAAUCACCCAGAACUAUCGGACCUGAGUACUUCUUGUCAUUAAAAUAAUCAUUUCCAAUCAAAACAAUUAUUCGACAUGGCAUUUUACCCCCACCAACUUCUUCUAAAAUGCUCCACGCAAGCAUUCAUGUGCACAAAAAUGUAAAAAAACGACAUGUGGCCAUAGCUCAAAAACUUGACCUGAUUGAGGAAAACUGAUGUGAUUUUUGGAUUCAGCGCAUCAGAUUCGUCCUAAAUCAACUGAAAAAACGCAGACAACAAAUUUGUUGUUGACCAGUGUUAGAGCCGAUAGGAGAAUAUAUGACUACCGUAUUUUUCGCUCUAUAGGACGCACUGUUUACCCUCCAAAAAUUAAGGGGAAAUGUGUGUGCGUCCUAUGGAGCGAAUGCAGGCUUCUUGGCUUCAGCGAUAGCAACGCGAAGCCUCUGAAGCGCAGAGGGAGCGCUCCCUCCGCGCUCCUGAGGCUACGCGUUGCUUUCGCUGAAGCCUGGAGAGCGAGAGGGGUCGGUGCUUCGCUGGAGAGGCGCUGCACAGUUUUUCCUCUCUGUGCAGUGCCCCUUCAGCGAAGCCGGAGGAGAAAUGGAAGGGGCUCUGUUUCUCCUCCCGCUUCGCUGAAGGGGCGCUGAGCGGAGAUGGGGAGAACUUUUUUUUCUCCUGUUCUCCCCCUCCUAUGGUCCGGUGCGUCCUAUGGUCCCGUGCAUCCUAUAAAGCGGAAAAUAUAGUAUAUAUUGUACCAAGAUAUGGUUCAUGUUCAAGAACAGAUCAAAUACAUGCCAAAGUAUUAAAGAGGAGAAAAAAUAUGAAACUGCUUACAUACGGUCAACUAAUAUCCAGAUUCAAGAAAGACUGUAUGGCAAACAUUUAAAUCAGUGAAAAGACAGAAUUUGAGUCCACCGAGCCCGAACAAGCAAAACCUUAUAUGACAAAAUGGAUGCAAAAAAUUUAAGAGCAGUUCACAAUGGAACAAUGAGAACAAUUAUGAAUAAAGGAAUAAAAUUUACUGCAAGUUAAGCCCUAAAACAAAAUUGGUACAGUGAAACCUCGGGUUGCAGACGUAACCCGUGACUGAGGCAUGUCUGCAACCCACAGCGUUCGCAUCCUGAAGCGCCAUGUCUGCACAGGCGCCGGCGCAAUUUGGCGCUUCUGCGCAUGUGAAAGCGGCGAAACCUGGAAGUAACCCGUUCCAGUACUUCCAGGUUUCCCGCGGUCCGCAACCCAAAAACACAUAACCUGAAGCGGCCGUAACAUGAGGUAUGAUUGUACAAAAAUGUUCUUUCAGUGGUAUAUAACUUUGAAAAAUAUACAGAAUAUGAAUAAUGCAAUGAAUGGACAUUGCUGGAAAUGUGAUAGACCUUAAGGAAUCUUCUUCCAUUUAUGGUGGACCUGUGAAAAGACCAAAAAGUUUUGGAGGAAAGUUCAUUUC